rnacentral:rRNA from 1 species
GACGAACGCUGGCGGCGUGCCUAAUACAUGCAAGUUGAGCGCUGAAGGUUGGUACUUGUACCAACUGGAUGAGCAGGGAACGGGUGAGUAACGCGUGGGGAAUCUGCCUUUGAGCGGGGGACAACAUUUGGAAACGAAUGCUAAUACCGCAUAAAAACUUUAAACACAAGUUUUAAGUUUGAAAGAUGCAAUUGCAUCACUCAAAGAUGAUCCCGCGUUGUAUUAGCUAGUUGGUGAGGUAAAGGCUCACCAAGGCGAUGAUACAUAGCCGACCUGAGAGGGUGAUCGGCCACAUUGGGACUGAGACACGGCCCAAACUCCUACGGGAGGCAGCAGUAGGGAAUCUUCGGCAAUGGACGAAAGUCUGACCGAGCAACGCCGCGUGAGUGAAGAAGGUUUUCGGAUCGUAAAACUCUGUUGGUAGAGUAGAACGUUGGUGAGAGUGGAAAGCUCAUCAAGUGACGGUAACUACCCAGAAAGGGACGGCUAACUACGUGCCAGCCGCCGCGGUAAUAC